GAGAGGUGAGCAUUUGGACAGUGGUUAGGACACUGGGCUGGGAUGCCUGCAUCCCACAUCCGGUGCCUGAGUGAGUCCUGGCUCUUCUGUGGAUUCCUGUUUCCUGCUGUUGUGCACCCUGGGAGGCAGCAGAUGUUUCUGGUACAUACUGAAGUUUGAAAACUACUAGUCUAGAAAAGGCUUUCCUGUAGCAGAAAGGGGACUUGAUGUACCACCUAGAGUGUGGGGUAUAGGGACUUGGAGCUCCCCUGUAGUGAUCUGGACCCUCACUGGACUCCACCUUUGUGCCCAUAACAUAGUCAGCUCUCAGUAUUGAGGUCAGAUGAGUAAAGUGGUCUCUUUAAUACAUUUGCUCCGCUCUUUAAUGUCAAGAUUAUAGGAAUGCAUGCUUGCUCAUUUGCUCUCAAGUGCAAACAGUGGUUAUAGCUGAGCUCAGCAGAUUUCAGCCCCACUUCCUCUGUCUGAAUCAACUGUGGUAGAGGAAGAAUCAUGUCGUUUCCUGGACAAGCAGAAGUUGGCUGGCUGAGCCCAGUGCAUGCCCAUCUUCAGUGUGCCUAGGAAUCCCAUGGGUGCCAUGCAAGAAAAGUCCAUUCUGCUUCAGUAGCUCUGGGGAGGAGCCAAAGGUUUUCCUUUGAAAUCUCUUCAUGUUCUUACAAGUCAGCCCUGCAGUGGUUUGGAUGCCACUAAUGAGUCACCUCAGCUACAGGUGGAUGAAAGUGACCAAAAUGUGCAAAACAGAGAUCCUGCUGCCUGAGAACCCCAACUCAGCUUUCCCAACACUCCCCCAACCCCAUAGUUUUGCCAGAAGGAUUGGCUGUGCUCUGCGUUCCUGGACCCCUAGAACCAGAGAUAACCGCUCUUGCAAUCCCAAGGCCCCUUGUUCUGGAUGGGUAGCUAGGAACUCGGGCAGCUGACUGGAGCAGUGGUGGUCCACUAAGAGAUGCUCUGGGCCAGCACAUUGGUGUGUUGUGGCUGGGGUGGAUUGUGCUCAGGUGCACCAUCCCUGGGAAGCCUGCAGAGGAACCCUACUCCUAUCAGUCUGCUGAUUAUUAUGAUGGCUGAUUAGUCAGUACCCAGUUGUCCUGAGGGAGGAAGAAAUUGCCAUGUCACAGCCGCAUCCCUGGCCCAUGCCUCGCUUACCAACCCAGAAGCCCUGAGCCAGAGACUAGGUAGGGGACA